UUGAUUAGAUAAUUAGGUCUAGUUUCUUUUAUGCUAUAGGGCAUUUCACCUUCAGCCUUCAGCUAGUGGCUUCUCGGGACAAGUAUAAAUGCCUGGGCUUCUCCACCUGUGAUUUUUUUUCCCAAGUAUUCAUUGUGAACCCUGACAAAUUUUCUGGAUCCCUUUCAUUUCCUACCUGGCCUGAGGUAUGCUUUUUACCUCCAUGAAAAUGUCCAAAGAGAUUUUUUUUUUUUUUUUCUUUGGGAAAAGGAAGGGGCGGAAGCAGGAUGCGCAGUAGAAACAGAUUUCUGCUGCUGCAACUGCUUCCCUGCCAGCUGUGUCCUGCAGCUCCCGGCUCGCAGAUGCACUGCUGCAGCCCGGGCACAGCGUGUCCCUUGCGUCCAAGGUGCUUCUGCACCAUUUGAAGCUGAGAUUUAUUGCUCAGAGGGUGGACUCUGGUAUAAUCAGUGAUGAAUCAUCAGGGACACUGCUUGGAGAGCUACUUAUCUAGGAAUACUAUUCGGUGCCUGGGGAAUAGCGGAAGGAAAGAGUAAUUUUUCAAAAACUGCCAGAAACUGAAAUCUGGGAGAAGCCUGAUGCCAGCACACCAUUACAGAACUUACUGAAAUUGUGCUGUUUCUGAAAAUGUCUUCACUUGCAUUUUGAAGUGAAUGUUAUAUUCCCAUCUUUAAAGUAAGGUGCACAUCGUUCUUUGCAGCCAUGGUUGUGUUGAUCCUGGGGAAUAUUUUCCAGAAGCUUGUGGAUGCACUCACUAGUUUUGGUUGAUGGGAAUCAUGCUAGAAUUUGAAGAAAGGAAAAAACCCUUCCUGGAAAGUGAUAGUGCAAUGGUAUUUCCAUCUUGCUGGCACUUCAGCACCCACAAGCUAUCUAAAAUGACAGGAACCAAGGUCACCUAGCUCUGAACUGCUGCUCCGGGACUGUGGUCAGGAAAAGACAAAACCAGAGUAGACUACGAAGAUGGCUUCAAACAUUUAUCAUCUUAGAAAGGUCUUCCAGGAGAGCAUUAAAGCCUGGUCAACUUGGAAUAGCAGCAGAGGAAAAAGUUCUCAAUAUUUAUGUCCUUCUCUAAGGUUCUGAGGCUCUGGGGAUCACCAGCUCAACAGCUGCUGCUGCUGCUGUUACCCUCAAAUUGUUCAGUCAGUAAGUCAAGGAACACUGCAAUUUCAGCUGCCACAGCGAAGAAAUCCAGGAGUAAUAAAGGGGUCACUACUAUUAGCAAUUGUUCUGACAGCUGUAAAGUAAAUCAUACAGACAGCACUCUAGACAAGGUACAGCGCUCUAUUGGUGUCCUUGGAACACCCUGUGAAAUGAAGCACAGGGGUGGGAGGGAAGCAUCUGCCUGGUU